CACGUAGGGCGCAAGCGUUGUCCGGAAUUAUUGGGCGUAAAGAGCUCGUAGGUGGUUUGUUACGUCUGCUGUGAAAACCUAGGGCUUAACCCUGGGCUUGCAGUGGAUACGGGCAGACUAGAGGCAGGUAGGGGAGAAUGGAAUUCCCGGUGUAGCGGUGAAAUGCGCAGAUAUCGGGAGGAACACCGGUGGCGAAGGCGGUUCUCUGGGCCUGUACUGACGCUGAGGAGCGAAAGCGUGGGGAGCGAACAGG
rnacentral:rRNA from 1 species